GACGAACGCUGGCGGCGUGCCUAACACAUGCAAGUCGAGCGGAGGUACAAUGAGAGCAAUCGAGAUGUACUUUAGCGGCGGACGGGUGAGUAACGCGUGAGCAACCUGCCUAUCACAGGGGGAUAAGGCGGCGAAAGCCGCUCUAAUACCGCAUGAGACCCUCAAAGCGAUGCAAUGGGGGUGAAAGGAGCGAUCCGGUGAGAGAUGGGCUCGCGUCCGAUUAGGUAGUUGGUAGGGUAAGGGCCUACCAAGCCAAUGAUCGGUAGCCGGCCUGAGAGGGUGAACGGCCACAUUGGAACUGAGAGACGGUCCAAACUCCUACGGGAGGCAGCAGUGGGGAAUAUUGGGCAAUGGGCGGAAGCCUGACCCAGCAACGCCGCGUGAGGGAGAAGGUUUUCGGAUUGUAAACCUCUGUUCUUGGGGAAGAGGAGGAGACGGUACCCGAAGGAGGAAGCCCCGGCUAACUACGUG
rnacentral:rRNA from 1 species